UUCUUUCAACCGCUCUUCUUUUCCUCCUUCGGCUCCUCUCGCGCUCUUUCUUCGGCGUCUUGGCUCAGCGCGCUGCCGCACUCACAGAAGGAUUAGCCCUGGUUUCCUCUUCUCAAGACUCGCCAUCGAACAGAAUUGAAUGCACACAUGGAUGAUCCAUUCAACUUGUUGACAUCUCAGAACAGUUGUGGCCUCAGAGAAGCCAUUUCUAACACACCCCACCCUCUGGAUCACUGGCCAAUGUGAGAAGGGGCAUGUCAGAAGAAAAUGUCAAGUUACUCUCAGCUUGCCAUGACCAAAAAGACAAGUGAAACUAUGACAGUGUCCCUCCACCACACAGUUUACACCCUUUCCUCAUCCUCAUGCAUCUGAUCUUAUCUCCUGCCCAAUGUGACUCUUGGCUCUUUCAGAAGAAUGGCAACUUCAAUCAGAUAAAGAGAAGUAGGACUAUCUCCAGGCUUGCAGUGGAAGAGCCUAGAGCUGACUUCAAAUAGAG
rnacentral:lncRNA from 1 species